rnacentral:misc_RNA from 1 species
CAACCCUCAAGCCCCCCCGGGGGCUCGGUGUUGGGGACCGGCCCCGCCUAGCCGCGGGUCGCCGCCCCCUAAAUACAGUGGCUGUCUCGCCGUAGCCUCCUCUGCGUAGUAACAACAACACAUCGCACCGGAGAGCGGCGCGGCCAGGCCGUUAAACCCCAACUUUCUGAAAGG